UACCCGGGCUUAAAUUGCAGAUGAAUUACGGUGAAAGCCGUAAGCCGCAAGGCAUCUGUGAAGGUGCUGCAUGGUUGUCGUCAGCUCGUGCCGUGAGGUGUCGGCUUAAGUGCCAUAACGAGCGCAACCCUUGUUGUCAGUUACUAACAGGUUCCGCUGAGGACUCUGACAAGACUGCCAUCGUAAGAUGUGAGGAAGGGGGGGAU
rnacentral:rRNA from 1 species